rnacentral:rRNA from 1 species
AUUGAACGCUGGCGGCAGGCCUAACACAUGCAAGUCGAACGGUAGCACAGAGGAGCUUGCUCCUUGGGUGACGAGUGGCGGACGGGUGAGUAAUGUCUGGGAAACUGCCCGAUGGAGGGGGAUAACUACUGGAAACGGUAGCUAAUACCGCAUAACGUCUUCGGACCAAAGUGGGGGACCUUCGGGCCUCACACCAUCGGAUGUGCCCAGAUGGGAUUAGCUAGUAGGUGGGGUAAUGGCUCACCUAGGCGACGAUCCCUAGCUGGUCUGAGAGGAUGACCAGCCACACUGGAACUGAGACACGGUCCAGACUCCUACGGGAGGCAGCAGUGGGGAAUAUUGCACAAUGGGCGCAAGCCUGACGCAGCCAUGCCGCGUGUAUGAAGAAGGCCUUCGGGUUGUAAAGUACUUUCAGCGGGGAGGAAGGCGAUGUGGUUAAUAACCGCAUCGAUUGACGUUACCCGCAGAAGAAGCACCGGCUAACUCCGUGCCAGCAGCCGCGGUAA